CACGGGGGGAGCAAGCGUUGUUCGGAAUCACUGGGCGUAAAGGGCGUGUAGGCGGUCAGGUAAGUGAGACGUGAAAUGCCCCGGCUUACCCGGGGACCUGCGUCUCAUACUGCGUGGCUUGAGUACGGGAGAGGGUGUGGGAAUUCCUGGUGUAGCGGUGAAAUGCGUAGAUAUCAGGAGGAACACCGGUGGCGAAGGCGCACACCUGGCCCGAUAUUGACGCUGAGGCGCGAAAGCUAGGGGAGCAAACGGG
rnacentral:rRNA from 1 species